CCUACGGGGGGCUGCAGUGGGGAAUUUUGGACAAUGGGCGCAAGCCUGAUCCAGCAAUGCCGCGUGAGUGAAGAAGGCCUUCGGGUUGUAAAGCUCUUUUGUGGAACGUUCGGUACCUGAAGAAUAAGCACCGGCUAACUACGUGCCAGCAGCCGCGGUAAUACGUAGGGUGCAAGCGUUAAUCGGAAUUACUGGGCGUAAAGCGUGCGCAGGCGGUUUUGUAAGUUUGUCGUGAAAUCCCCGGGCUCAACCUGGGAAUGGCGAUGAAGACUGCAAGGCUAGAGUUUGGCAGAGGGGGGUAGAAUUCCACGUGUAGCAGUGAAAUGCGUAGAUAUGUGGAGGAACACCGAUGGCGAAGGCAGCCCCCUGGGUCAACUGACGCUCAUGCACGAAAGCGUGGGGAGCAAACAGGAUUAGAUACCCUUGUAGUC
rnacentral:rRNA from 1 species